GAUGAAGAACGCAGCGAAAUGCGAUACGUAAUGUGAAUUGCAGAAUUCAGUGAAUCAUCGAGUCUUUGAACGCACAUUGCGCCCCCUGGUAUUCCGGGGGGCAUGCCUGUCCGAGCGUCAUUGCUGCCCUCAAGCCCGGCUUGUGUGUUGGGUCUCGUCCCCGUUCCCGGGGGGACGGGCCCGAAAGGCAGCGGCGGCACCGUGUCCGGUCCUCGAGCGUAUGGGGCUUUGUCACCCGCUCUGUAGGCCCGGCCGGCGCUUGCCGAUCAACCAAAACUUUUUUCCAGGUUGACCUCGGAUCAGGUAGGGAUACCCGCUGAACUUAAGCAUAUCAAUAAGCGGAGGA
rnacentral:misc_RNA from 1 species